GGAAUAUUGCGCAAUGGGGGAAACCCUGACGCAGCAAUGCCGNGUGAGUGANGAAGGCCUUCGGGUUGUAAAGCUCUGUCAAAUAGGAAGAAUUCCUCUGGGUCCAAUAGGCCUAGGGAUUGACGGUACUAUUAAAGGAAGCACCGGCUAACUUCGUGCCAGCAGCCGCGGUAAUACGAAGGGUGCAAGCGUUGUUCGGAUUUACUGGGCGUAAAGCGCGCGCAGGCGGAUUAAUAAGCCAGAUGUGAAAUCUCGGGGCUCAACCCCGAAACUGCGUCUGGAACUGUUAAUCUAGAGUUAUGGAGGGGAGAGCGGAAUUUCGCAUGUAGGGGUAAAAUCCGUAGAGAUGCGAAGGAACACCAGAGCCGAAGGGGGCUCUCUGGCCAUCAACUGACGCUGAGGCGCGAAAGCGUGGGGAGCAAACAGGAUUAGAUACCCUGGUAGUCCACGCCGUAAACGAUGAGUACUAGGUAUUGGGAGUUUGACCCUCUCAGUGCCAAAGCUAACGCAUUAAGUACUCCGCCUGGGAAGUACGGUCGCAAGACUAAAACUCAAAGGAAUUGACGGAUUA
rnacentral:rRNA from 1 species